rnacentral:tRNA from 1 species
GGCUUGUGGCUCAGUGGUACAGUGCUCUCGCCUAGCAUGUGUGAGGCACUGGGUUCGAUCAUCAGCACCA